AGCAACACGAUGGGACACGUAUUGCGAU
rnacentral:sRNA from 1 species